GCCAGGCGACGGGAGUGCAGGCCGGGUUUGGGGUCUGAGGCCGGUGGGGUCGCUGUGGCCUCCAUGUUCCUCGGGGCUCUCGGGACCUCCAGAGUUCGCCGUGAGCUGCAGAAGCCGCUCCAGGCAUGAGAUCCAAGGCCAAGAAGUUCGUGGUGCUGCCCAUGAGCCCAGCGCCGCCCACGGUGGAGCAGUUCCUGGAGGACAUGCGCGGGGCACAGGCCAAGACCUUGUCUUCACCGCGCUGGCCCCGGAAGACCCCCCAGGAGACCCCAGGAGGAGUGAGGACCCCGAGGCCCAGAGGGAGCGGCUGUACCAGCAGAGCCAGGCCUAAGUGGCCGCCAACACAUGGCUGCAGUGGGCAGGUGAGGGGCUGAGGCAGCAGUGCCAGGGCCUGCAGUGAGCCGGCGCCAAGCUGGAAGUGGACGUUGGCCACGUGAUGCGCUUAGUGCUGCCCGACGCCUCUGCCGCUACCUCCUCUGGCUGACCUGUGCCCUUCCCCGCCCCCGGCACAGGCUGGACCCUGUAUGGGCGCCUGAGACCACCUCCCCCCAGCGGACUCUGCCCAUCUCACGGGGCCACUCUGCUCCCUUGCCUGGCGCUGGAUCAGCGCACCACUCCCUGGCUGAGAGGAGGAGCCGGCAGCCCUGGCGGGGCCCCGCAGGCCUCAUGCUGCCACUCCUGGGCAGGAGCCUCCCCUUCAUCACUGCGGGAGAGGCUGAUGUGGGGGACAGCCGAGCGUCCACGGGCUGGCAGGGCCUCUGUCCCUGGGAGGGUGUCCCUGCAUCCUGGGGGGCAGGACUGAGCCCCAGGGCCACAGGAGUUUCUCUUCCACUGCCUGAGCUUCAGAGACCCCAGCCACAGCCGCUCAGACAGGGCAGAGACCCCCCAGCCCACUGGGCACUGUCAGACCUGACAGAGUCUGGGCCACAGCCAAGGACGGAGCCGGACAGAGAUGUCCCAGUGGGACAGUCUUCCUGGGCCAGUAGGGACCGCUGGCCUCCCUGCUCGUGGCCGGCGUGGGAGGCCCGCAUCUGCCCCACUCAUGCAGCAGAGGCAACUGGACAGCUCUGUUUUUUAAAGUUGUGCAACACUGAUGCAGGGGAUGUGGUCCUUCCGCCAGGCGGCGGCUUUACAUGGGGUGCUGGUGGGUGGCGCGCUAUGUACACAUGGGACAGAUGCUGCAGGGCGGCGUGAGGAACA